AAGGUAGCUUCGUCUGUGUUCGUUCUCUUGUGAUUUUCUUUGGGAUACAAUGGGUUUAUCAUCUACAAUGACGUUGUCCAAGCACUUCUACACUGAAGUUGUUUACAACGAUCAAGGAGAGAAACCUCAAUUGCGCUGGCGUAAGAUCCACCAGGAUACCUUCGAAUAUCUGGUGUCAAUGAGAGGUUUAAAUCUGGUGUCAAUGAGCUUUCCUCUAACGAUCAGGUUGGUGAAGAGUUGGCUCAGUCCGGCGUGAAUGUAACGUGCAGAAUGUGCUUCUGGGGAGAAAGCCAAGGAAGUGAGAGAGCAAGGAGGAUGCUUUCUUGUAAAAGCUGUGGUAAGAAGUACCAUAAGAAUUGUGUAAAGUCUUGGGCUCAACAUAGAGAUUUGUUUCAUUGGAGUUUAUGGAGAUGUUUAAUGGUUUGCGUUUGUUAGAUUACUUGUCGUUUGUUAGAUUCGCCGAUGAUAUGAUUACCGUUUGUUGUAAUUUUCGAUCUACUUUCAUGAAUAAGAACACCCAUUUGCACA